ACUAAUUCUAGCCUAACCCCUAUAAAAUUCAAUUAUAAUAAAAAAAUAAAAUAAACCAUUUAUAGUAAAAAGUAUAGGAGAUAGAAAUUUAUACAAGCGCUAUAGAGAUAGUACCGUAAGGGAAAGAUGAAAGAACAAUAAAAGUAAAAAAUAGCAUAGAUUAAAUCUAGUACCUUUUGCAUAAUGAAUUAACUAGACAAACCUUGACAAAAAGAACUUAAGUCAAAACUCCCGAAACCAAACGAGCUACUUUUAAACAGCUAAAAUAUUGAGCAAACUCAUCUAUGUAGCAAAAUAGUGAGAAGAUUUAAAAGUAGAGGUGAAAAGCCAACCGAGCUUGGAGAUAGCUGGUUAUCCAAAUAAGAAUUUCAGUUCAACUUUAAGAUUUCCUAAAAACCCACAAAAUUUAAAUGAAAUCUUAAAUGCUAAAUUAAGGAGGGACAGCUCCUUAAAUAAGGAUACAUCCUUGAACAGAGGGUAAAAAAUAAAACUCCCAUAGUAGGCUUAAAAGCAGCCAUCAAUUAAGAAAGCGUUCAAGCUCAACAAAACAAUUAACAAUAUUCCUAAAAUAUAUAAUAAACCCCUGUAAAAACAAUUGGAUUAAUCUAUAAAAAUAUAGAAGAGACAAUGUUAAUAUUAGUAAUUAGAACCACUUCUCCUUGCACAAGCAUAAGUUAGACAACCUAACCAGUUAACAACUCUAUAAAAAAUUUACUAAACAAGCCAAAUAUUAAAAAUUUUGUCAACCCAACUCAGGAGUGCAAUAAGGAAAGACUAAAAUAAGUAAAAGGAACUCGGCAAACACAARCCCCGCCUGUUUACCAAAAACAUCACCUCUAGCAUAACAAGUAUUAGAGGCACUGCCUGCCCAGUGACUAAAGUUAAACGGCCGCGGUAUCCUGACCGUGCAAAGGUAGCAUAAUCACUUGUUCCUUAAUUAGGGACUAGAAUGAAUGGCUAAACGAGGGCUCAACUGUCUCUUACUUUCAAUCAGUGAAAUUGACCUCUCCGUGAAGAGGCGGAGAUUAAAAAAUAAGACGAGAAGACCCUAUGGAGCUUAAAUAAAAUAAUUCAUUUAUCAUUAUAAAUAAUCAACAAGAGAUAAAAAAGAAAAUUAUGAAUUAACUAUUUUGGUUGGGGUGACCUCGGAGUAUAACCAAACCUCCGAAUGAUAUUAACCUAGACACACAAGUCGAAGAUACUAUCAUAAAUUGACCCAGAAAUCAUCUGAUCAACGAACCAAGUUACCCUAGGGAUAACAGCGCAAUCCUAUUUAAGAGUUCAUAUCGACAAUUAGGGUUUACGACCUCGAUGUUGGAUCAGGACAUCCCAAUGGUGCAGAAGCUAUUAAUGGUUCGUUUGUUCAACGAUUAAAGUCCUACGUGAUCUGAGUUCAGACCGGAGCAAUCCAGGUCGGUUUCUAUCUAUUAAAUAUUUCUCCCAGUACGAAAGGACAAGAGAAAUAAGGCCUAUAGGUCCUCCAUGCCUUAGUGGAAAAGGGAUGAUAUAAUAUUAACCCCUAACCACUAAUUAUAAACAACCCAAGAUAAGGGUUU
rnacentral:rRNA from 1 species